CCUUCCCCAGUUAAAUCACAUUUUGUCUCAAGUGAAUCUUUCAGCUUAAUAUGUAUGCACUAUGCCUCUUUAUUUUGGGGAGUAGUGUCAAACUUUUUCUCUUUUUCCCAGCCACCACAUAUAAUUAGGAAAUUACCAUGACAAUAUAGGAAACUUUCACAUUUGAGUUAGUACCUCCUAGCAUAUGGGAUAAAGCAAAAUUCGGUAAGCUAAUAAACCAGGUAAUGCUUGACAGAUUGAUGUAGAGAGUUCUGCUCAGUUAUCAGUGUCAAAUAUCUAUAUCUAAUUUAUAUCUAUCUCAGAAGGCCAGUCAAAGCCUUAUGUUGAAUGUACCAUAGAUGGUAUAUUUCUGCUAACAGAACAAUAUGGUAUUGAUGGAUCUUGUCAUUUUUGCCUAUACAGAGGGGUUUUAAAUGCUCACAAAUGCCUGCCAAGUACAGCAAUUCUGUUCUACAUCAAAGACCUAGAUUAGUUUUGUUCGAGUUAUAAAAUGCAUUAAUUUAAGAUUAUAUCCCUGUAUGCUGGGGAACAUAUGUAGGUACAGCACAUAACUGACAAUUUGUCAGGCCUCUUUCCAAGCCUUUUACGUGAAGAAUGGGAUCCAAUCUGGAUCAGUUACAACUGAAAAAACAUAAUCUAUGCAAAACUAUGCCUCUGUUACUUAACAGUGCAAAUUAUUUUUGUGCAGUUCUCUUGCCCUGUGCCAAUGAGCCGAGUGUGAGUUCUAACUCCAUCUGGCCCUGAUCCAUGGCCACUCCACAUGUGGCUUUCAGGAUCCUAAUCUUUCCUUUUUGGGGAUCAAGGUCAGUUUUUAUCCUUCAACAUCUUAAGUCUCCCCUAUGCAAACACAAACAUGGUUCAAGUUGUCAGUGGCCUUCUGCAAAGUCCAAUGCUGAUACCAUUUCAUCUGUCAUGCAACAAAGGGUAUUUGUUUCAUGAAAGGCUAUAUUCCUUUCCCAAGCAUCUAAGAUCCAAAUCUAUGUCUUCCACAGCUUGCUGCAUGGUCAUACUUCAGCAGGUCAAGUUGUUUUGGAUCUAUAAAACCAUUUAUAGUCUGAGGCCUGUGUACUCUGUAUAGGUUCUUAUAAUGUGGUCAUCCCUGUGGUAUCUGAGCACCUUCCAGUAGUGCAUUAACCAAUGUUUCCAACAUCUGUCACAAAGUAUUUAUUCUCCCAUCCUCCCCCAGUAGGAGAAAUGUGUGCAGGGGAGUGUAUUGUUUUCAUUGGGGGUGGGUGCGUGGGUGCGUGUGUACACAUGUUCUGUAUAUAUUUGAUAGAGAAGGCAGGUCAAAGAAAGCCGCCUGGCACAUGGAGCAGAAGGUGAUGAGAUUGGUGAUUAGUUCCUGUGUGAGUUUUGUGACAGACAUGGCAAUUUCCUGCAAUAUCCUUGAAAGACCUUAGGGUAUUAAGUAUAUGUAGUGUUGUGGGCUGGGAUUGUAUGUCAUUUCAUCAUAGGAGGAAUGUGACAAAUAUUGCAACCCCAUCUUUGGGUCUGUUGGUUUAAAUGAAUGAUUUAUGUAUGAUUGGGUUUUACUCCAUGGGGAAGGAACUCCUCCAGGAACAAAAAACAUUGGGUGGUGAUUAAGACCAAUCAGCUAGAUUGUAACACCCCAGAGAGGUACACAUAUACUAGUUCAUACUAGAUUCUCUGGAAACCAACAGACAAAGAAAGGAUUUUUGGAUAAAUAGGUCAAGUUUAAAUUUACUCAGUGCAUCCUUUCUGAUCCACCAGGCAGUCAGGACCUUCUGUCCAAGAGGAGGUCCCAGUCCUUCCUGAGAAGGGUUGGAAGGCCUCUGGGCUAUUGGGGCCUUAUAAGACUGAUGGGUGACCUCUGGUAAGAUUUUAGCAUGCAGUUAGAAUGCUAAUUGUUUUUCUUUGCAAUGCUUUCACCUUAAGAAUAAAUGUGUUUGUUUGCUUUUUGUCAUAACUUACUAUUGUUGGCAAUUACAGCUGUUCAUAGUCUUCAAAGAGAAAGCAAAGCAUGGCUUGUUGGAGAAUUAACAGUGUAAGCAGGGAACUGUUGUGCCCCCUGGAACAACCCCUGUAAGGCAGGAGAGCGAUGUUAAUAUCUACCCAAGAGAGUGAUGGCUGAAGACCCUGGACUUUAGAGUGAGUGCCCUCGAGGGACAACGAGGAAGAAUACAGGUGACAAGUUCAUUUCACAGUCUCAGACUAGCCCUGGGAAAGCUCUGUCUCCUGCACAGCUUUAUCCUUAUGGUAGAAAGUUCAUUGUGCCAGAGGAGAGACGCUGUUGACCAAGGUCUUCAUUCUGGAUUUUUAGGUAACAUGCACCCAGACCAUUGAGCACACUGAAGAUAUGGACUGAGACCUUGAGCAUUGCUUUCUAUGGCAAGCUAGUGUAGAGACUGGCGGACAUGUUUGAUGUGUAGCGUUCUCUACUAGUUGGAAUUUCCUAAUGGUUCAAAGUGUCAUGCCCAGGUAUUAGAGAUUAACUGUCUCAGGACUCUGGACCAGGUGGAAAGCUCAAUUUGACAGACCUUAGAUUUAAUCAACUGGGGGUACAAGGUCAGGCAGGAGAGAGAUGUUUGUGGAAGAGCUGUGACCUGGAAGCUCACUCUCCACUCUUUUCCAUUGGUGUAUUCUGCUUUUCCCAAGGGAGAUGGCUCAAGAACAGAGAAGUUUGUGUCAAGACCCAGAACAUGUCCACCUUCCCUACCCAGACAUCCCUUCCUAUCCCAUGCCAAUAAGAAUACUCCUAGAACAUGUACAUGCCAGGAAUACACUUCUGCUUACUGAGGAGGAGAUAGUUGACAAGUGUGUAUGUUCUCUCUCAUCUCUGCAAAGAGCAGAGUCCCUCUGGAGGCUAGUCUGAGAGCCCUGCAGCAUAUUGAGCAAUCUUUACAUCAACGGAUUUCAGAGCACUUCACAUUCAGUUAAUUCAUUGUUGAUUGGGGGGGACUGUUUUAGCAGCCUAGCAACACUGCACGCUGAUUUAGGACAAGAAGUGAAGAAGAAUCAUGUACUGAAUUUAAAAGGCAUGGAGAUUUGCAAGAGACCGAAGGUCUUGUUUUAAACAUGCGUACAUGCCCCACAAAAGUGAACAUACAUGAUUCAUAUAAACAAACCCACGAAGGUGCGCCUGAUUCUGGUAACAGUGCAUGCAAGUUUGCUCCAUGCAUUUUGUCUGUGUGCAAUUCCACAUUUGCAUUUUUGAAAACUCAGGGGAGAUGGCGUUCUGUGCCUCUAGGAAGCAUAGCUCAGGGCUUUCAGCCCAGAGGGAAUGGAGGAUAUGGUGGCUUUCUGCCACCAUUGUGCCUUCCUGCUCCUGGGCAGUUCUGGGGACUGGCAGAACCCAACAUCUGCACUAAACCUUUUUCCAUUGACUACAAAGGGUUUUGGAUCAGGCCCUAAUUCCCUUUUAAAAAGAUACUUCAUUUAAAUUGCAACAGAAACUAGAAUCUCUAUAUCACUCUCAACUCUGCCCCUAACGCCUAUCGCACAAUGUCCUGCGUUGUCUUCAGCACCGAUUUUUAAAAUUUUGUUUUUUGCAUAUUUUUUUCUCCUGCCCCGAGACGUUUUUACUGUAUUAUUUUCUUGGUAUCUUCAGCAUAGUUACGGAAUUUAGCUCUGACAGCUGGAGUCAGAGAUUUCCUUCUCAUUUAAUACUUGUAUUGAAAAUGGUGAAAGGCGACAAUAGAACAAGCCAUCGCUUUUUGUUUUUGGCUUUUGAGCCAAAUAUUAAAGAGCAAAUGAAGAUCGAAUGUGGAAGCCACCUGAGAGAAGAACUACUCCAUCUUGAAUUCUGAUCCAAGUGAGCCUAAGAGGACUGGAGAGUACAGACUGUGCUACAGUAAAGGAACAGGCAGAACAAGAAAACCAGACCGAAAGCAAGGGAGGAAAAAAACCGACAGCAAUACAAACCAAAGCAGAUAGGCAGGCAGAAAACACUCAGCAAGGCAGUCAAGUUAAAAAGGGCUUAGAACAAUCAUAUUAUCACUUGGUUGGAAACCCCAUCAAUAUAUUUGGCAGGAGAGACUUAUUUAGAUAUAACUUCAGAAAUUCUCACAAAGACCCAGUUUGACAUGCAAACGCCUAACAUUAUCUCUGAAUACACAGGUGGCUUUUGGAUGCAACAUGCUGUAUAACAGAUGCCGUUGUAAGGGUCUCAGAAGCCACUCUCUGUACAUUGAUUUUGAGCCAAGUGCUCUGACAAUGGGGAAGAUUUGGGAAAGGCUGCUUGGCUAAUGCUCGUUUUGUGAAACAAGCCUUUAGAACAAAAAAUCUGGAUUUUUUUCUUGGUUAUUAGAGGAUCUCUUCAGUAGCAUUCUGUCUACUGUUCUUAAUCCCACAAAUUAAUUUAUAUAAUUGUGGAAAUUGAACCAUUGCAAAAUAACCCUUAUUCAUAUGUGUAUAUAUAUUUUGACACCAGUGUCCAAUUUGGUCUUUGGUGCAAGUUUCAUUAGCGCAAAAUGCAUCAACAAAAGUCUCAAACAGCAAUCAAUUCUUCACUAAUAUGCCAUAAAGUGCUGUUCCACAUUUCCAUAAAUGAUUAAAAAUCCUGCUCUGCUUAUGCAUCCAGACUUGGUGCAGUGCAGAUAAAAGUGUUCCACGUAUGAUGUUUGCUAGCAUUGUCUUUGGCGUUAUGGACUUCAGAGAUAGGGUUCAAAGAACCAUGCUAAAGUGCAGCAGUAGAAUGAGCGUGCUUUGCAGAGAAUACUUCCAUGAAAUGCCAGAACACUAGUCAAAGAAAAUAAUUUUCUCUUGUUUUAAGGAAGACAAUAGUCGAGAAAGCAUAAGCAAGUGGAAAAAAGGUUGCUUCAUUUCUGGACAUUGUUGUGUUUAGUUAUUUGCAGGGAUUCUGUGUCAAGAAAGAUAUUGGUGCUAUUUCAGUGAUCUACAGUUUGAAGAUGUAGAGAAGGAAAUUGAGGCUCUGUUACAAGUGAAGGACUGUAAUGCAUGUCUUCAUCGAAAUUCCACUUCUGACUCAUUGAGAGUCCUCCUCUGAAUUCCAGUGACUUAAAAAUUAAUGGUUGUAUUGACAUAGACAUGAGUAAUAGUGUUUAUAUUAGUUAUUGUGGGUGUGUGGAUGGUGAUGUAGAUGCUGUGGUUAUGGGGAUACCAGAGCUAGGUAGUCUGAUAGACUAGAUAGGUUUUCAUGAUAGUCAAAGUGAAUAUGGCUUUGGAACUUCUUCUCUAGGGGCCUGAUCCAAAGCCCAUUAAAGUCUUUCUAUCUAUAUCAAUCAGCUUUAGCUCAGACCACAAAAGUAAAGGAAUGUAUCCAUCUAUUUAUACAGUCCCAAUCGCCAUAAUACCAAGCACCUCUGCAGCAUUUAAAAAUACGUAGAGAUGUCUAUUGCUAUUUUUCUUCCUCUCCGACCUAUAGAAGAAAUAGUUGGUUCAUUUAUACGGUGUUUGUUUUGCUUGUUGAUAUUUUCUUGUCUUCCUCCACUGCAUCAUUCUGCUGCAAUCAAAACAGAAGGGCUGAGACCCUACAAAAAUAUUGUUGCAUAAUACAAUGGUCCAUAAUACUACUCGGUGCCAAAUACCAAGUCAAUUUAAACUUGAGAAUCUUGGCUGUAAUUUCCUUUGUGAAGACGGAAGGAUGAAUAUGAAUUUCUGAUUCUGACUAAAAUGUUGCUACAAUACCCCUAUAAAAUACAGAAUCUCCUCUCUGUCUGCAUUGCCACCUUGCUAAAUAGAAUGCAGUUAGGCUUGGCAUUGUCAAAGGGUAAAACUAGUACAUUCUCACAUGGGACAUGGUAAUGUAGUAAGUCAGGAGAAUUGCCAGUAUUUCUAUAACAUAUUCUAAGAUGCCUUUGCUCAGGAUCUCUUUAAACUAACGGUUGCAGAGAUGAUAAACCUCAGUCAGGAAUGUUUAAAGUUCAUCUUGUGAUAUGGAACAGGGCACAUGCCACAAGCCAAAGGUGGACAUCUACCACUGUAAAAC